rnacentral:rRNA from 1 species
AACGAACGCUGGCGGCGUGGAUAAGACAUGCAAGUCGAACGGGAUUUUAUUUGUAGCAAUACACGUAAAGUCUAGUGGCGUAAGGGUGCGUAACACGUGGGCAAUCUGCCGAGAAGUGGGGGAUAGCUCGCCGAAAGGCGAAUUAAUACCGCAUGUGAGUAGUGAAGACAUCUUCGCGAUACCAAAGCCGGGGCAACCUGGCGCUUCUUGAUGAGCCCGCGGCCUAUCAGCUAGUUGGUGAGGUAACGGCUCACCAAGGCUAUGACGGGUAGCUGGUCUGAGAGGACGACCAGCCACACUGGAACUGAGACACGGUCCAGACACUUACGGGUGGCAGCAGUCGAGAAUUUUUCUCAAUGGGGGAAACCCUGAAGGAGCGACGCCGCGUGGAGGAUGAAGGUCUUCGGAUUGUAAACUCCUGUCAUUUGGGAACAAUUGUUGGCGAUUAACUGUCGUCAGCUUGAUAGUACCAGAAGAGGAAGAGACGGCUAACUCUGUGCCAGCCGCCGCAGUAAAAC